GUGUCAGCAGCCGCGGUAAGACAGAGGGUGCAAACGUUGUUCGGAAUUACUGGGCGUAAAGCGCGUGUAGGCUGCUCAGAAAGUCGGAUGUGAAAGCCCUGGGCUUAACCUAGGAAGUGCAUUCGAAACUUCUGAGCUUGAGUUCUGGAGAGGAAGGCGGAAUUCUCGGUGUAGAGGUGAAAUUCGUAGAUAUCGAGAGGAACACCGGUGGCGAAGGCGGCCUUCUGGACAGUGACUGACGCUGAGACGCGAAAGCGUGGGGAGCAAACAGGAUUAGAAACCCCUGUAGUCC
rnacentral:rRNA from 1 species